GGAUAAGUGGCGGAAUUGGUAACGCUUAGUAGAGUAAGAUUGUAAGCCAGACAUUCAGUGAGGCUCUUAAAUUUACAUUCCCGGUUCGAAUCCGGGCUUAUCCA
rnacentral:tRNA from 1 species